GAGUUUGAUCGUGGCUCAGGAUGAACGCUGGCGGCGUGCCUAAUACAUGCAAGUCGAACGCGAGCACUUGUGCUCGAGUGGCGAACGGGUGAGUAAUACAUAAGUAACCUGCCCUAGACAGGGGGAUAACUAUUGGAAACGAUAGCUAAGACCGCAUAGGUACGGACACUGCAUGGUGACCGUAUUAAAAGUGCCUCAAAGCACUGGUAGAGGAUGGACUUAUGGCGCAUUAGCUGGUUGGCGGGUAACGGCCCACCAAGGCGACGAUGCGUAGCCGACCUGAGAGGGUGACCGGCCACACUGGGACUGAGACACGGCCCAGACUCCUACGGGAGGCAGCAGUAGGGAAUUUUCGGCAAUGGGGGAAACCCUGACCGAGCAACGCCGCGUGAAGGAAGAAGGUUUUCGGAUUGUAAACUUCUGUUAUAAAGGAAGAACGGCGGCUACAGGAAAUGGUAGCCGAGUGACGGUACUUUAUUAGAAAGCCACGGCUAACUACGUGCCAGCCGCCGCCGUAAU
rnacentral:rRNA from 1 species